UACAGAGGUGGCAAGCGUUGUUCGGAAUUACUGGGCGUAAAGGGCGCGUAGGCGGUUCGUUAAGUCCUGUGUGAAAUCCCCCGGCUCAACUGGGGAACUGCACAGGAAACUAGCGGGCUUGAGUUCGGGAGAGGGAAGCGGAAUUCCGGGUGUAGCGGUGAAAUGCGUAGAUAUCCGGAGGACCACCGGUGGCGAAGGCGGCUUCCUGGACCGACACUGACGCUGAGGCGCGAAAGCUAGGGGAGCAAACGGG
rnacentral:rRNA from 1 species